rnacentral:rRNA from 1 species
UACGAAGGGGGCUAGCGUUGCUCGGAAUUACUGGGCGUAAAGGGCGCGUAGGCGGUUCGUUAAGUCCUGUGUGAAAUCCCCCGGCUCAACUGGGGAACUGCACAGGAAACUAGCGGGCUUGAGUUCGGGAGAGGGAAGCGGAAUUCCGGGUGUAGCGGUGAAAUGCGUAGAUAUCCGGAGGAACACCGGUGGCGAAGGCGGCUUCCUGGACCGACACUGACGCUGAGGCGCGAAAGCUAGGGGAGCAAACGGG